CUACGGGGUGCUCCAGUGGGGAAUAUUGCACAAUGGGCGCAAGCCUGAUGCAGCCAUGCCGCGUGUAUGAAGAAGGCCUUCGGGUUGUAAAGUACUUUCAGCGGGGAGGAAGGGAGUAAAGUUAAUACCUUUGCUCAUUGACGUUACCCGCAGAAGAAGCACCGGCUACACUCCGUGCCAGCAGCCGCGGUAAUACGGAGGGUGCAAGCGUUAAUCGGAAUUACUGGGCGUAAAGCGCACGCAGGCGGUUGGUUAAGUCAGAUGUGAAAUCCCCGGGCUCAACCUGGGAACUGCAUCUGAUACUGGCAAGCUUGAGUCUCGUAGAGGGGGGUAGAAUUCCAGGUGUAGCGGUGAAAUGCGUAGAGAUCUGGAGGAAUACCGGUGGCGAAGGCGGCCCCCUGGACGAAGACUGACGCUCAGGUGCGAAAGCGUGGGGAGCAAACAGGAUUAGAUACCCUUGUAGUC
rnacentral:rRNA from 1 species